UUGUAGCAAACCUUUAUAUCCAUCAUUUCUCACUGUCUUUUUAAAAUAACUAGGCAAUAUCUCAUCUGAGGUAGGCCAUCUCUAGUGGUUGUAUUCUGAGGGAGAAAAGCUAAUCUGUUCUCUUUCCACUGCAUUUCAGGAACAGUAAGAGGACCUUGUGCAUGAAUAAUUUGUUUCCACACUACAAAGUGGCAGAAGAAUCCCAGCUUUCUUAGAGAACCCAGUGACUUUUCACACCUUAAAUCUGUUAAAUCUUAAUGUUUUCUUCUGCCGUAUGCAUAGUUCAAACAUACAAAGAUGAAGCAAAGUCAGACACAUUCCUGAAGGAACCCAAGAAAUUCCUCUCUUUCUGUCUCUAGAACAAAAUGAAUUCUUUAGACCAUCAGUUCUAACCUUCAAAAACCAAACCUGUUUGUGAGAUCUGCUUUAAAUACUACUGUAGACCCCAGGGUUUAUUCAUUAAAUUUUUUAGAUACUUGUUUUAUUUGGAA